GUUUUUCAUGACACGGAGAACCUGAACAUCUUGGCUCAAGAAGCAGGGAGGCAGGAGGCCAUGAAUUCCCAGCUGCAGCCUCUCUUUAAGUGUGAAAGCCAUUCCCUUGUUGAGGUGGGGGUUCCUGGUGAUGUCGUAGCCUCGCUUUUUGACGGCCAAGGCCUCGCGGCGGACAGCCGGGUUCCCUCCAGCCGGGCUGCCGCUGCUCCGGGCGGCGCUGAGCAGCAGCAGCCUCCGGCCGGCCCCGGCUCCGGCCACCCGCAGCAGCCGCCCCGCCGCCCCACCGCACAGCGGCCCCAUGGCUCGGACCUGCGGACGGGGACACAGCGUCAGCGGACACGGGGAGUGAGCGAGGGCGCGGCCACAGGGCGGGCCCCACGCCCGGCCCGGCCCAGCC
rnacentral:lncRNA from 1 species